CCUGGCGCCCCACGAGAGGCUCACUUUCCCAUGCCGAACACGAAGGUUAAGCUUCAAAGCGCUGAUGGUACUGCAGGGGAAGCCCUGUGGGAGAGUAAGUCGUUGCCAGAU
rnacentral:rRNA from 1 species